GCCCACAUAGCUCAGUGGUAGAGCGCAUUCUUGGUAAGAAUGAGGUCCCGAGUUCAAUCCUCGGUGUGGGCUCCA
rnacentral:tRNA from 6 species